CACCCAACAGCUAGCCCGCCCUUAUAAACUCAACACUUAAACAUACAUAAACCCUAACAUCCUCAAUACCUCAAUUAAAUCAUUCUUCCGCUCUAGUAUAGGCGAUAGAAAAAGACCUACGGCGCAAUAGAAAAAGUACCGCAAGGGAAAGCUGAAAGAGAAGUGAAACAACUCAGUAAAGUAUAAGAAAGCAGAGUUUUUACCUCGUACCUUUUGCAUCAUGUUCUAGCUAGAGCCCCCCAAGCGAAAAGCAUUUUAGUUUGACAACCCGAAACUAGGUGAGCUACUCCAAGACAGCCUAACAUAUAGGGCCAACCCGUCUCUGUGGCAAAAGAGUGGGAAGAUCUUCGAGUAGAGGUGAUAAACCUACCGAACCUGGUUAUAGCUGGUUACCUAACAAUUGAAUAGAAGUUCAGCCUCUUGAGUUCUCCCCUCCCCACUGGUUAUAACCUAAACCUUAAAGACUAAGAGAAAUCUAGAGAGUUAGUCGAAGGGGGUACAGCCCCUUUGAAACAAGACACAACUUUAUUUAGGAGGAUAAGGAUCAAAUUCUAUUAAGG
rnacentral:rRNA from 1 species